AUAGGGUCAAGUGAAUAAGUGCAUCAGGCGGAUGCCUUGGCGAUGAUAGGCGACGAAGGACGUGUAAGCCUGCGAAAAGCGCGGGGGAGCUGGCAAUAAAGCUAUGAUUCCGCGAUGUCCGAAUGGGGAAACCCACUGCAUUCUGUGCAGUAUCCUAAGUUGAAUACAUAGGCUUAGAGAAGCGAACCCGGAGAACUGAACCAUCUAAGUACCCGGAGGAAAAGAAAUCAACCGAGAUUCCGCAAGUAGUGGCGAGCGAACGCGGAGGAGCCUGUACGUAAUAACUGUCGAGAUAGAAGAACAAGCUGGGAAGCUUGACCAUAGCGGGCGACAGUCCCGUAUUCGAAAUCUCAACAGCGGUACUAAGCGUACGAAAAGUAGGGCGGGACACGUGAAAUCCUGUCUGAAUAUGGGGGGACCAUCCUCCAAGGCUAAAUACUCAUCAUCGACCGAUAGUGAACCAGUACCGUGAGGGAAAGGCGAAAAGAACCCCGGGAGGGGAGUGAAACAGAACCUGAAACCUGAUGCAUACAAACAGUGGGAGCGCCCUAGUGGUGUGACUGCGUACCUUUUGUAUAAUGGGUCAACGACUUACAUUCAGUAGCGAGCUUAACCGGAUAGGGGAGGCGUAGGGAAACCGAGUCUUAAUAGGGCGAUGAGUUGCUGGGUGUAGACCCGAAACCGAGUGAUCUAUCCAUGGCCAGGUUGAAGGUGCCGUAACAGGUACUGGAGGACCGAACCCACGCAUGUUGCAAAAUGCGGGGAUGAGCUGUGGGUAGGGGUGAAAGGCUAAACAAACUCGGAGAUAGCUGGUUCUCCCCGAAAACUAUUUAGGUAGUGCCUCGAGCAAGACACUGAUGGGGGUAAAGCACUGUUAUGGCUAGGGGGUUAUUGCAACUUACCAACCCAUGGCAAACUCAGAAUACCAUCAAGUGGUUCCUCGGGAGACAGACAGCGGGUGCUAACGUCCGUUGUCAAGAGGGAAACAACCCAGACCGCAGGCUAAGGUCCCAAAUGAUAGAUUAAGUGGUAAACGAAGUGGGAAGGCACAGACAGCCAGGAUGUUGGCUUAGAAGCAGCCAUCAUUUAAAGAAAGCGUAAUAGCUCACUGGUCGAGUCGUCCUGCGCGGAAGAUGUAACGGGGCUCAAAUCUAUAACCGAAGCUGCGGAUGCCGGUUUACCGGCAUGGUAGGGGAGCGUUCUGUAGGCUGAUGAAGGUGCAUUGUAAAGUGUGCUGGAGGUAUCAGAAGUGCGAAUGUUGACAUGAGUAGCGAUAAAGCGGGUGAAAAGCCCGCUCGCCGAAAGCCCAAGGUUUCCUACGCAACGUUCAUCGGCGUAGGGUAAGUCGGCACCUAAGGCGAGGCAGAAAUGCGUAGUCGAUGGGAAACAGGUUAAUAUUCCUGUACUUGAUUCAAAUGCGAUGUGGGGACGGAGAAGGUUAGGUUGGCAAGCUGUUGGAAUAGCUUGUUUAAGCCGGUAGGUGGAAGACUUAGGCAAAUCCGGGUUUUCUUAACACCGAGAAGUGAUGACGAGUGUCUACGGACACGAAGCAACCGAUACCACGCUUCCAGGAAAAGCCACUAAGCUUCAGUUUGAAUCGAACCGUACCGCAAACCGACACAGGUGGGCAGGAUGAGAAUUCUAAGGCGCUUGAGAGAACUCGGGAGAAGGAACUCGGCAAAUUGAUACCGUAACUUCGGGAGAAGGUAUGCCCUCUAAGGUUAAGGACUUGCUCCGUAAGCCCCGGAGGGUCGCAGAGAAUAGGUGGCUGCGACUGUUUAUUAAAAACACAGCACUCUGCCAACACGAAAGUGGACGUAUAGGGUGUGACGCCUGCCCGGUGCCGGAAGGUUAAUUGAAGAUGUGCAAGCAUCGGAUCGAAGCCCCGGUAAACGGCGGCCGUAACUAUAACGGUCCUAAGGUAGCGAAAUUCCUUGUCGGGUAAGUUCCGACCCGCACGAAUGGCGUAACGAUGGCCACACUGUCUCCUCCCGAGACUCAGCGAAGUUGAAGUGGUUGUGAAGAUGCAAUCUACCCGCUGCUAGACGGAAAGACCCCGUGAACCUUUACUGUAGCUUUGCAUUGGACUUUGAAGUCACUUGUGUAGGAUAGGUGGGAGGCUUGGAAGCAGAGACGCCAGUCUCUGUGGAGUCGUCCUUGAAAUACCACCCUGGUGUCUUUGAGGUUCUAACCCAGACCCGUCAUCCGGGUCGGGGACCGUGCAUGGUAGGCAGUUUGACUGGGGCGGUCUCCUCCCAAAGCGUAACGGAGGAGUUCGAAGGUUACCUAGGUCCGGUCGGAAAUCGGACUGAUAGUGCAAUGGCAAAAGGUAGCUUAACUGCGAGACCGACAAGUCGGGCAGGUGCGAAAGCAGGACAUAGUGAUCCGGUGGUUCUGUAUGGAAGGGCCAUCGCUCAACGGAUAAAAGGUACUCCGGGGAUAACAGGCUGAUUCCGCCCAAGAGUUCAUAUCGACGGCGGAGUUUGGCACCUCGAUGUCGGCUCAUCACAUCCUGGGGCUGUAGUCGGUCCCAAGGGUAUGGCUGUUCGCCAUUUAAAGUGGUACGUGAGCUGGGUUUAAAACGUCGUGAGACAGUUUGGUCCCUAUCUGCAGUGGGCGUUGGAAGUUUGACGGGGGCUGCUCCUAGUACGAGAGGACCGGAGUGGACGAACCUCUGGUGUACCGGUUGUAACGCCAGUUGCAUAGCCGGGUAGCUAAGUUCGGAAGAGAUAAGCGCUGAAAGCAUCUAAGCGCGAAACUCGCCUGAAGAUGAGACUUCCCUUGCGGUUUAACCGCACUAAAGGGUCGUUCGAGACCAGGACGUUGAUAGGUGGGGUGUGGAAGCGCGGUAACGCGUGAAGCUAACCCAUACUAAUUGCCCGUGAGGCUUGACUCUAU
rnacentral:rRNA from 1 species